rnacentral:rRNA from 1 species
UUGAACGCUGGCGGCAGGCCUAACACAUGCAAGUCGAACGGUAACAGGAAGAAGCUUGCUUCUUUGCUGACGAGUGGCGGACGGGUGAGUAAUGUCUGGGAAACUGCCUGAUGGAGGGGGAUAACUACUGGAAACGGUAGCUAAUACCGCAUAACGUCGCAAGACCAAAGAGGGGGACCUUCGGGCCUCUUGCCAUCGGAUGUGCCCAGAUGGGAUUAGCUAGUAGGUGGGGUAACGGCUCACCUAGGCGACGAUCCCUAGCUGGUCUGAGAGGAUGACCAGCCACACUGGAACUGAGAC